rnacentral:ncRNA from 1 species
ACAAGGGCAAACCUGUGGAAACGCAGGGACGCAAAGCUGAGGGUCUAAGGUAUAUAUAGAUACUAUGACAGCCGGUUGCCAC